AUACGUAGGGUGCGAGCGUUAAUCGGAAUUACUGGGCGUAAAGCGUGCGCCGGCGGCUUUGCAAGACAGAGGUGAAAUCCCCGGGCUCAACCUGGGAACUGCCUUUGUGACUGCAAGGCUAGAGUACGGCAGAGGGGGAUGGAAUUCCGCGUGUAGCAGUGAAAUGCGUAGAUAUGCAGAGGAACACCAAUGGCGAAGGCAAUCCCCUGGGCCUGUACUGACGCUCAUGCACGAAAGCGUGGGGAGCAAACAGGAUUAGAAACCCCAGUAGUCC
rnacentral:rRNA from 1 species